AGAGGCCUCCCGGCCCGGAGGCCACGCCCCCUGCCGCGAACGCCCAGAGCCGGGGCCUCCGCGGGAUGGGGCCCAGCCGCCUGCGGGGACCUCGCGCGGUCGGCGGAGGGGCCGUGUGGCCGACGAGGCUGGGCUGCCGACUCUGCAGCCGCCCUGCGACCGGGACAGGAAGAGAGGAAGGCGCCUCGUAGCUCGAGGACGCGGAGACAGAGGGCGCCCCGGCCGGCCUCCGCUCAGACUGCCGCCCGGUCUCGGGAGGUCCGGGCAUGAAAGUGCGGGCAAAGCCGCCAGCGGCUGGUGCCGAGGAAGGAGGGGUCGCUGCGGGCUGUGGAGCGGAGGCGGGUCUGUCGAGGGGGGAGCGCGAGCCUUGCUGACGGUGCCCGAGCAAGCCCCGCCUUGAGCGGCCUUCACUCUGCACCGGCGCCGAGCGCCUGGCGUGGGCUGCGGCCCGAGACAAACUGACCGCACAGACCCCUGCUGUCGUGCAGCUGGGAUUCUCUUAAAAUGGCCGAGAGCCCACGGAGAGCCGCAGGCCGCCGCAAGCUGCAGAGGUGGACAGGCAUCGCUUUUGAGAGCAGCCAGGGAAGCCCGCUGCCUAUCGGAUAAUUCAGACUUCUGGAAGUCUCUGACGAAGUCCUUAUUGCCAAGCAGACUCUUCAGUUUUCUUCGUAGGUAAAUAUUGCAGCAUUUGGCACUGUCAGUAACCUCAUGCUUCUUAAAACCCUGUUCUCAGUCUAGUUGUCCUGCUGCUUCUUCAACCAGUCCUUCUCAGAUUCUAGACAGGGCUCUUCUCAGCCCACGAUUUAUUGCUCUGUUCGUGUUUCCUUCCUUAGUCCUCUUAUCUCUAGUCUGUGUAUCUCCAUGGCUUUCCCUCCUGUGUCACUGACUCUAAAAAUGACUUCUGGCCCAGCUGGGCUCUCUGGAGCUCUCGUGGCGUUUAUCCAGCUGCCCCUGGUUGUUGGCGCUCAUGGCUCCCACAGGUUCUUCAAACUCAGCAAAUUCCACCUGAACCCAGCUCUUCUGCAGGACCUGCACCUCCUGUCGUGUUCUGGAUCCCUGAGAGCACCACGGCCGUCCUCAACCACCCAGGGCAGAUGCCCGACAGUCAAGGAGAUACCUCCUCGCCCUUCCGCUGCACCAUGUGAGCAACGUUCCAGGAGUGCCAUCCUGAACUUGGAAUGUGUAGCCUUCAGAGGUAGUUCCUGGCACAGCAUUAGAAUCUGAAGACGUGGCAGGAGAGUGGGAGCUUAAUCUCCAUCGGCUGUGCAGCUUUCUCAUCAUUAGCCCCACUGUCCAGCGAUUCCUUUUCAACUUCCAUAUUUUUAUUUUGAAACUCAGGCCGUAUGUUCAUAUCUUCCGCUACAAUCUUACAUUCAUCGGCGACUUUCAAGUUACAUUUGUGCUGUAAGCAGAGGGACAGCAUUAAGCACAGCUGGAUGCACAGUCGUGUUUCACUGUCUAGCGUCCCACACAGACGUGAGACGUGUGCAGUCUGCACUGCGAUGCUUUCAAUGUCAACAUAUUGUAGUUUUCAUUUGAUAUAUAUUUCAAUAUUUAUAAAUAUCUUUGUGGGUGAA